UGGGGAAUAUUUGACAAUGGGCGAAAGCCUGAUCCAGCCAUGCCGCAUGAGUGAAGAAGGCCUUUGGGUUGUAAAGCUCUUUUAGUGAGGAAGAUAAUGACGGUACUCACAGAAGAAGUCCUGGCUAACUCCGUGCCAGCAGCCGCGGUAAUACGGAGAGGGCUAGCGUUAUUCGGAAUUAUUGGGCGUAAAGGGCGCGUAGGCUGGUUAAUAAGUUAAAAGUGAAAUCCCGAGGCUUAACCUUGGAAUUGCUUUUAAAACUAUUAAUCUAGAGAUUGAAAGAGGAUAGAGGAAUUCCUGAUGUAGAGGUAAAAUUCGUAAAUAUUAGGAGGAACACCAGUGGCGAAGGCGUCUAUCUGGUUCAAAUCUGACGCUGAAGCGCGAAGGCGUGGGGAGCAAACA
rnacentral:rRNA from 1 species